rnacentral:lncRNA from 13 species
GAGAGAGGGCUCUGAGUGGCAGCUGCUGCUGUCCUGCAGGGCCCUUCACCUGGACUCUGGGCUCAUGGAUAAUUCUUGAUUAAUUUCUUUUCUAGCAUUCUUGGUCUUUUUUUCUCUCUACUUCCCCCACCCUCCAUGCCUUCAAAACUACUUGUCUCCUCCACCAGCAUCCUGCUACAGGGCGUGCACAGGAGCAGCCUCAGCCCAUGAUCAGAAUCUACCUCCCUCGUUGCUCAUUGGAAUCCUCCAGUUCUGGCCUGUUCCAGAGUCUGAAUUUUAAUGGAAUCUACACGCUCCCUCGGCAGCCCCACAGCCUCUCCAAAACAUCAU